rnacentral:rRNA from 1 species
UACGUAGGGGGCAAGCGUUGUCCGGAUUUAUUGGGCGUAAAGAGCGUGUAGGCGGCCAGGUAGGUCAGCUGUGAAAACUCGAGGCUCAACCUCGAGACGUCGGUUGAAACCACCUGGCUAAAGUCCGGAAGAGGAGAGUGGAAUUCCUGGUGUAGCGGUGAAAUGCGCAGAUAUCAGGAAGAACACCCGUGGCGAAGGCAGGUCUCUGGGCAUUAACUGACGCUGAGGAGCGAAAGCAUGGGGAGCGAACAGG